rfam:Magnaporthe oryzae 70-15 chromosome 2, whole genome shotgun sequence.
GGGGAUAUGGUUUAGUGGUAUAAUGCUUCCUUAGCAACACCGGGACACCGGCUGCUUGGAUGGAAGAGGUCCCGAGUUCGAUUCUUGGUGUCUCCA